ensembl:ncRNA Y82E9BR.27 ncRNA
GCCAAGCCCCGCCCAUCUACCGUACUCACGAGCGUGGCGAGACCCGCUGCGUCCCUCUGCCCGUAGAGCUGCCCGUCGGAGAGACGGGCGGCCGUCGUUCUGUGCUUCGCUGCAGAUUUGUUUCGCACAAAAAUCACUGGUUUUCACUAUUUUUACGCUAUUUUUUUGGUUUUUUCUUAAUUUUCAGGCACAAAUAUCGAAUUUAAGAAGGAUUAGC